GACGAACGCUGGCGGCGUGCCUAAUACAUGCAAGUCGAACGCAGUGGGGACGGGUGAGUAACACGUGGGUAACCUCCCAUCAGGGGGGAUAACACUUGGAAACAGGUGCUAAACCGAUACUGAUGGCUGCACCCGCGGUGCAUUAGCUAGUGGGUGAGGUGACGGCUGACGACGGCCACGAUGGAUAGCCGGCCGGGGGGGUGGGUGGGCGACACGGGACAUGAGGAACGGCCCAGGGGCCAACGGGAGGCAGGAGUAGGGAAUCUUGGGCAAUGGACGAAAGUCUGACCGAUCAACGCGGCGUGAGUGAAGAAGGUUUUCGGAUCGUAAAACUCUGUUGUUAGAGAAGCGGUAGCUAACCAGAAAGCCACGGCUAACUACGUGCCAGCCGCCGCGGUAAUUC
rnacentral:rRNA from 1 species